GUGCCAGCCGCCGCGGUAAUACGGAGGGUGCAAGCGUUGUCCGGAAUUACUGGGCGUAAAGCGCACGUAGGCGGCUUUGUAAGUUAGAGGUGAAAGCCCGGGGCUCAACUCCAGAAUUGCCUUUAAGACUGCAUCGCUUGAAUCAUGGAGAGGUGAGUGGAAUUCCGAGUGUAGAGGUGAAAUUCGUAGAUAUUCGGAAGAACACCAGUGGCGAAGGCGACUCACUGGACAAGUAUUGACGCUGAGGCACGAAAGCGUGGGGAGCAAACAGGAUUAGAAACCCCUGUAGUCC
rnacentral:rRNA from 1 species